rnacentral:SRP_RNA from 1 species
GCCGGGCAUGGUGGCGUGCGCCUGUAAUCCCAGCUACUCAGGAGGCUGAGGCAGGAGAAUCGCUUGAACCUGGGAGGCGGAGGUUGCAGUGAGCUUAGAUGGUGCCACUGCACUCCAGCCUGGGUGACAGAGCGAGACUCUGUCUCAA